UGAUGAAAGGAAGAAAGCAUUGGAGAGAAAGAAGAAUGGAUGGACGUUUGACUUCGUUCUGAUGCUUUAUUUUUCUCCAUUUUUUUGUGUC
rnacentral:ribozyme from 11 species